GAUGAACGCUAGCGGCAGGCCUAAUACAUGCAAGUCGAACGGUCCGCUUCGGCGGAUAGUGGCGCACGGGUGCGUAACACGUAUGCAACCUACCUUACAUUGGGGGAUAGCCUUUCGAAAGGGAGAUUAAUACCGCAUAAGACAGUAGCUGGGCAUCCAGUAGCUGUUAAAGAUUUAUCGAUGUAAGCUGGGCAUGCGUCCAAUUAGUUAGGUGGUGAGGUAACGGCUCACCAAGACGAUGAUUGGUAGGGGAACUGAGAGGUCAAUCCCCCACAAUGGCAGUGAGAUAGGGGGCAGACUCCUACGGGAGGCAGCAGUAGGGAAUAUAGGGCUAUGGACGCAAUUCUGAGCCAGCCAUGCCGCGUGCAGGAAGAAGGCGUUCUGCGUUGUAAACUGCUUUUAUAUAGGAAGAAACGACCCUUGCGAGGGGCAUUGACGGUAUUAUAUGAAUAAGCACCGGCUAACUCCGUGCCAGCAGCCGCAGUAAAAC
rnacentral:rRNA from 1 species